UCUCUUCUACUUGAAACACCAGUUGCCUCUGUCAGGGGCCUCCCUGUGCAGGACACUGCUGUUGCCUCACAGACAAAGGCAUAAAGUCAGUGAAAACCAAUGCCAGCUGUUUGCCUAUUGCUAGAGAAAGGGGUCAUCUUUCCUGACUUUUAUCGCCCUCUACCCCCCACAAAGACUUUUCAUCCCCCUAACUUCUUUAGAGUUCCUAGGGCUGGGCAUGCAGGGCUGUCCCCAAAGGGCUUUCAGCCCUACCGUAACAAUCUAGGAGCCAAAUUGGCUUCAUCUUCCCUCCUUGAAACAGAAACCAUAAGGUCCAACCCUGAAAUAUAAAGGAAAACCCUGCAUGCAAUUUCAUCUCUCAAAUUCCUGUAGUGGUUUUCAACAUAUGCUUCACAAGGAAUGGUCUGGGGUGGUAGGUGGGGGAGAAUGGACUGUCUGUCCCUAGAACCUAAAAUAGUUGUACCCUGUGCGUAUUCUACCAAUCAGCAAGUGCUUCUCCUGCUACCAUCAUCCGCUACUCUUCUAUAAAUAAAGAGUCUGAUACAUUAAAUUCCCGAGGGUCAAUCAAAUGUUUAUUUGCUCAAUAAAUAAUCAAAUGUUUAUUUAUGGCCCCUUAUAUUUUCUCAGAAAUUUCAGGAGAGCAUGGAGGAAAUAUUAAAGUAAUUCUUUUUCUUUCGCUAUCCCUGACUCCCACCCUCAGGUUAGGCUCCACCAACUGAGCAACAGAUUGAAGAGAAAAUACUGUGGUUUGGGUUUUUUUUUUUUUUUUUCAUUAUGAAGAUAAAGAAAUCAUUACCAAGUUCUGGAAUCUGGGAAGCCCAAGAUAAAGGUGCCAGCAGAUUUGAUGUCUGAUGAAAGCCCAGUUUCUCAUUCAUAGAUGGCCAUCUUCCUGCUGUGUCCUCACAAGGUGGAAGAGGUUGGAAAGCUGGGGAGAUGGCAGAGUAAGAGGACCCUAAGCUCACCUCAUCCCACAGACACAACUAGAUAGCACUCACAUCAGCGUAAAUAACACAGAAAAUGGGCCGAAGACUGGAAGAACAGACUUUGCAACUAAAGGUAGGGAAGAGCCAUACUGAAGAAGGUAAGAAGAGUGAAGGUGUGGUUUGGGAGUGAAAGAAACCAUGGCCAUUUAUGGCUGGACAGAGCUGGGUCUCAGAGAAGGGCAAGAAACAGACUGUCAUGCUGGGGAGCCUGCACAAGGAAGAUGAAUCCCCAUAACAUUUGGCCAAACUUAGCAAGUUCUUACGACUAACAGAACUUAAAUACUGGAAUUUUAAAAAUUACUGAGCUUGGGGGGAGCCUGGAGGGUGUUAGGAAACUGAGUCUCCACCUGCGUGGAGACAGCACCAGAGCCAGUGAAAAUACAGCAUAGAAGGAACAGUUUGAAAAACACCUGUGGCAGGGGUGCCUGGGUGGCUUAGUCAGUUAAGCAUCCGACUUCA